rnacentral:rRNA from 1 species
AUACGGAGGGUCCGAGCGUUAUCCGGAAUCAUUGGGUUUAAAGGGUCCGUAGGCGGGAAUCUAAGUCAGUGGUGAAAUCUUGCAGCUCAACUGUAAAAUUGCCAUUGAUACUGGAUUUCUUGAAUUAGUGUGAAGUGGUUAGAAUGUGUAGUGUAGCGGUGAAAUGCAUAGGUAUUACACAGAAUACCAAUUGCGAAGGCAGAUCACUAACACUAUAUUGACGCUAAGGGACGAAAGCGUGGGGAGCGAACAGGAUUAGAUACCCCAGUAGUCC